GAUGAACGCUGGCGGCGUGCCUAAUACAUGCCAGUCGAGCGAACGGACGAGAAGCUUGCUUCUCUGAUGUUAGCGGCGGACGGGUGAGUAACACGUGGAUAACCUACCUAUAAGACUGGGAUAACUUCGGGAAACCGGAGCUAAUACCGGAUAAUAUUUUGAACCGCAUGGUUCAAAGGUGAAAGACGGUCUUGCUGUCACUUAUAGAUGGAUCCGCGCUGCAUUAGCUAGUUGGUAAGGUAACGGCUUACCAAGGCAACGAUGCAUAGCCGACCUGAGAGGGUGAUCGGCCACACUGGAACUGAGACACGGUCCAGACUCCUACGGGAGGCAGCAGUAGGGAAUCUUCCGCAAUGGGCGAAAGCCUGACGGAGCAACGCCGCGUGAGUGAUGAAGGUCUUCGGAUCGUAAAACUCUGUUAUUAGGGAAGAACAUAUGUGUAAGUAACUGUGCACAUCUUGACGGUACCUAAUCAGAAAGCCACGGCUAACUACGUG
rnacentral:rRNA from 1 species